rnacentral:rRNA from 2 species
GUGCUUCCUUCGGGAAUGCCUUUUUUUUCCCGACAACUUCGGCGCGGCUCGGCGUUCGUUGCUCCCGACGGUGUAAAACUCGCUCGGGCUAACAAACGUUCGGCCUAACCAACGUAACAAAAAACCGGCGUGAAAUGCGCCAAGGAACAUAAAAGAGAGUGCGUUCGUCUGGUGUCAGCACUGUUGCGCCAGGACGGGCGUUGUCUUCUUGAUGAGUUUAUAAUGACUCUCGGCAACGGAUAUCUCGGCUCCUACAUCGAUGAAGAACGUAGCAAAAUGCGAUACUUGGUGUGAAUUGCAGAAUCCCGUGAACCAUCGAGUCUUUGAACGCAAGUUGCGCCCGAAUCCUUUUGGUCGAGGGCACGUCUGCCUGGGUGUCACGU